rnacentral:rRNA from 1 species
CCUACGGGUGGCAGCAGUGGGGAAUAUUGGACAAUGGGCGAAAGCCUGAUCCAGCCAUGCCGCGUGUGUGAAGAAGGCCUUCGGGUUGUAAAGCACUUUCAGUGGGGAAGAAAGCCUUGGGGCUAAUACCCUCGAGGAAGGACAUCACCCACAGAAGAAGCACCGGCUAACUCCGUGCCAGCAGCCGCGGUAAUACGGAGGGUGCGAGCGUUAAUCGGAAUUACUGGGCGUAAAGCGCGCGUAGGCGGUCUGAUAAGCCGGUUGUGAAAGCCCCGGGCUCAACCUGGGAACGGCAUCCGGAACUGUCAGGCUAGAGUGCAGGAGAGGAAGGUAGAAUUCCCGGUGUGGCGGUAAAAUGCGUAGGGAUCGGGAGGAAUACCAGUGGCGAAGGCGGCCUUCUGGACUGACACUGACGCUGAGGUGCGAAAGCGUGGGUAGCAAACAGGAUUAGAUACCCGGUAGUC